rnacentral:rRNA from 1 species
ACUACGGGGGGCUGCAGUGAGGAAUAUUGGUCAAUGGCCGGAAGGCUGAACCAGCCAAGCCGCGUGAAGGACGAAGGUGCCAAGCAUUGUAAACUUCUUUUGUCAAGGGACAAAAUCCGGCUCGAGAGCCUGACCGCGGGUACUUGAAGAAAAAGCAUCGGCUAACUCCGUGCCAGCAGCCGCGGUAAUACGGAGGAGGCGAGCGUUAUCCGGAUUUAUUGGGCUUAAAGGGUGCGUAGGCGGGCGGUUAAGUCAGCGGUAAAAGCCCGGGGCUCAACCCCGGCGAGCCGUUGAAACUGGCUGUCUUGAGUUGUCGAGAGGUAGGCGGAAUGCGUGGUGUAGCGGUGAAAUGCUUAGAUAUUGCGCAGAACUCCGAUUGCGAAGGCAGCAUACCGGCGGCGGUCUGACGCUGAGGCACGAAGGCGUGGGUAUCGAACAGGAUUAGAUACCCGGGUAGUC